rnacentral:rRNA from 1 species
AAUUACGUGCCAGCAGCCGCGGUAACACGUAGGAUCCAAGCGUUAUCCGGAUUUACUGGGCGUAAAGCGCGUGUAGGUGGUUUGCUAAGUUGGGUGUUAAAUCUCUUGGCUCAACUAAGAGAUGUCGCUCAAAACUAGCAGACUGGAGGACGGUAGAGGAAGGUAGAAUUCCGGGUGUAGUGGUGAAAUGCGUAGAUAUCCGGAGGAAUACCAGUGGCGAAGGCGGCCUUCUGGACCGUUCCUGACACUCAGACGCGAAAGCUAGGGGAGCAAACGGGAUUAGAAACCCCGGUAGUCCUAGCUGUAAACGAUGUGAACUUGGUGUUGGCGGGGUAAAACCUGUCGGUGCCGAAGCAAACGCGAUAAGUUCACCGCCUGGGGACUACGGCCGCAAGGUUAAAACUCAAAGGAAUUGACGGGUGCCCGCACAAGCAGCGGAGCGUGUGGUUUAAUUCGAUGCUACACGAAGAACCUUACCUGGGUUUGACAUAUACGUGGUAGAGAACGGAAACGGGAUCGACCCUUCGGGGAGCGUAUACAGGUGCUGCAUGGCUGUCGUCAGCUCGUGUCGUGAGAUGUCCGGUUAAGUCCGGUAACGAGCGCAACCCCUGCUGUAUGUUACAUGUGUCAUACGGGACAGCCGGCAUAAGCCGGAGGAAGGUGGGGAUGACGUCAAGUCAGCAUGGCCUUUAUAUCCAGGGCUACACACACGCUACAAUGGCUAAUACAAUGGGUUUGCAAGACCGCGAGGUGGAGCCAAUCCUCAAAAUUAGUCUCAGUUCGGAUUGCAGGCUGCAACUCGCCUGCAUGAAGUCGGAGUUGCUAGUAACCGCGCGUCAGCAUUAGUGCGGUGAAUACGUUCCCGGGCGUUGUACACACCGCCCGUCACGUCAUGGAAGCUGGCAACACCUGAAGUCGGUAUCCCAACCGCAAGGAGGGAGCCGCCCAAGGUGGGGCUGGUAACUGGGACGAAGUCGUAACAAGGUAGGUGUACCGGAAGGUGCGCCUGGAUCACCUCCUUCU